AUUGAACGCUGGCGGCAGGCCUAACACAUGCAAGUCGAACGAGUGGCGGACGGGUGAGUAAUGUCGGGGAAACUGCCUGAUGGAGGGGGUUAACUACUGGAAACGGUAGCUAAUACCGCAUAACAUCAGAUGUGGCCAGAGGGGAUUAGCUAGUUGGUGGGGUAACGGCUGACCAAGGCGACGAUCCCUAGCUGGUCUGAGAGGAUGACCAGCCACACUGGAACUGAGACACGGUCGAGACUCCUACGGGAGGCAGCAGUGGGGAAUAUUGCACAAUGGGCGCAAGCCGGAUGCAGCCAUGCCGGGUGUAUGAAGAAGGCCUUCGGGUUGUAAAGUACGUUAAGCGGGGAGGCGUUACCCGCAGAAGAAGCACCGGCUAACUCCGUGGCAGCAGCCGCGGUAAUAC
rnacentral:rRNA from 1 species